rnacentral:lncRNA from 1 species
GGACUGGUUUAAAAAAAUCCUUCUCUUUUGAUUUGACUGAAAGGAAAAGCCUUGGUACCAGUGUUCUGAAAUAAUACUUGCCCUUCUCUGCUUCUCUCUCUUGACUCCAUAAAGAUCAUGAGGAUAGGAAGGAUACAGAAGAGGAGAUCUCCUCAGGCUGCUUAUUUUGAUGACAGAAAAGAAAAAAGGAGGAGAAAUAGCAGGUAAAAAGGAAAGAGGACCAAAGAGGCAAAAGAAGUGAUUAUACUUGGAGAAAAAGAAAGAGAAUAUCGUCUGCUCUUUCUGAUGGUGUUCUGAGACAGAUCUGUCACAUGGUUCUGAUUUGGGAUUGGAAUGGAAUGAGACAUCCGUAGACCAUCUAACAAAGAAGAAAUUUAUUUAACUGUAGUAUGGGCAGCAUAUUCAGAGCUGGGCAGACAAGAAGGGAAAACGCUCGGGAAUUUCCUGGAUGUUCAAGAACCCCAGGAAAGGUGGGGAACCUGGGACUGGAGUGA